GAAGUGCGAUAAGCAAUGCGAAUUGCAGAAUUCCGUGAAUCAUCGAAUCUUUGAACGCACAUUGCGCCCGCCAGUAUUCUGGCGGGCAUGCCUGUUCGAGCGUCAUUUCAACCAUCAAGCCUUGCUUGCGUUGGGGAUCCGCGGCUGCCCGCGGUCCCUCAAAAACAGUGGCGGGCUCGCUAGUCACACCGAGCGUAGUAACUAUACAUCGCUAUGGUCGUGCGGCGGGUUCUUGCCGUAAAACCCCCCAAUUUCUAAGGUUGACCUCGGAUCAGGUAGGAAUACCCGCUGAACUUAA
rnacentral:misc_RNA from 1 species